rnacentral:rRNA from 1 species
GACGAACGCUGGCGGCGUGCUUAACACAUGCAAGUCGAACGGAAAGGCCCUGCUUUUGUGGGGUGCUCGAGUGGCGAACGGGUGAGUAACACGUGAGUAACCUGCCCUUGACUUUGGGAUAACUUCAGGAAACUGGGGCUAAUACCGGAUAGGAGCUCCUGCUGCAUGGUGGGGGUUGGAAAGUUUCGGCGGUUGGGGAUGGACUCGCGGCUUAUCAGCUUGUUGGUGGGGUAGUGGCUUACCAAGGCUUUGACGGGUAGCCGGCCUGAGAGGGUGACCGGCCACAUUGGGACUGAGAUACGGCCCAGACUCCUACGGGAGGCAGCAGUGGGGAAUAUUGCACAAUGGGCGGAAGCCGGAGGCAGCAACGCCGCGUGCGGGAUGACGGCCUUCGGGUUGUAAACCGCUUUCGCCUGUGACGAAGCGUGAGUGACGGUAAUGGGGAAAGAAGCACCGGCUAACUACGU